rnacentral:sRNA from 1 species
CAGCGGCUCUUAGACAUGAUAGAGACCCUGAAGAUGGAGCACCAUAUCGAAGCGCACAAGAAUGGCCACGCCAACGGACACCUCAGCAUUGGCGUCGACAUUCCCAACCCUGACGGCAGCUUCAGCAUCAAGAUUAAACCCAACGGAAUGCCAAAUGGCUUCAGGAAAGAGAUGAUCAAGAUCCCCAUGCCGGAACCCGAGCGCUCCCAGUACCCCAUGGAGUGGGGCAAGACUUUGCUGGCCUUUCUUUACGCACUGUCCUGUUUUGUUCUCACUACAGUGAUGAUCUCGGUCGUCCAUGAACGAGUGCCUCCUAAGGAGGUACAGCCUCCGCUACCGGACACGUUUUUUGACCAUUUUAACCGGGUGCAGUGGGCGUUUUCUAUUUGCGAAAUUAACGGCAUGAUCCUUGUAGGACUCUGGUUAUUUCAGUGGCUGCUCUUAAAAUACAAAAGGAAGAAACCUGUCCAGAAAUGAGGCGACUUAAUGUUCGGACACCAUUGCAUCAAGCGUUUUAAAACUGCCCUGACCAUCUUGUCAAAUGAGUCUCUGCUCAUGAGACCCAACAAGAUGAACCAGCCAAGGAGGGAUGGUGUCUUGCCCUGUCGGAACAGUGACUGCUGACGUCUGAGAGCGAGCUGGGGGCGCCAAAUGUUGUCUGCCAGUACCAUGAAGGAAGUGGUUUACUGGUCACCCAAGAAGGUGGCAGACUGGCUGCUGGAGAAUGCUAUGCCAGAAUACUGUGAACCUCUGGGGCAUUUCACAGGCCAGGACCUAAUCAACCUAACCCAAGAGGAUUUCACAAAGCCUCCUCUGUGCCGAGUCUCCUCUGACAAUGGG